AGAAUCUGAAUUUAAAAUGUUUGGGGGUUUCAGAGCUGAAGAGACAGCAUGGAACUCAGCUACAGCCAAGUUGCACAUUUCAAGAUGAUGCCAAUACAGGGGCAAGCAAGAUGGUGGAUGGGCUGAAAGUCAGCUGUGAGAUGAUUGUGUAACAUGAACAAUGAAGUUGGUGACAAUGUCCUUUUAGCAGCCAGUCAUUAAAUCAGUUCAGAAAAUGCUUCACAGAUGGAUGAUUAUGAGGAAAUGAUUGAUACAGCAGGAUCAAACAAAAAGUUUUGCAUAUGGGUUUUGAAGCCCCGGUGUUUGAGCAAAUCUUAAGACUAUUCUUAGCAGACAAAAGAUAUGCCACGAUGAUGGAAAAUAACAAUCAUAUACUAUUUACCCAUUACUGUCUCUGGGGUUUCCAUGAAAGGAAAAGAAGAUUUCAGGGCUGGUUUCGUGGUCGCUAAGAACAAACAUGAAAACAAUCCUGAGAUAUUGGGGUAGUCUGAAGUGUGUUUGUUUGAGUGACAAGAGGGUAAGUGAAGGGAGAAUCUGCAUUGCUGAUGGAAGGUAAUUGGGAAAACAUGACACAGAACUAUUCCAGCACACCCAGUAGGUGCAUGCCUGAAGCCAGCAAUAUAAGAAGCAGCUGAUAUCUUAGAUACAAUUUCAUAAAUAACAGAAAGAAACAUUGUGGAAACACAGAAAGGACCUUGGAACAUGAAUACCCUCAGCUAUGUCCUGAAACAUCAUGAAGAAUCAUGUGGCCAAGGAAGACAGAAAUAAAUAUCCAACAGUGAAAGUUUAUCUGCUUGGUAAGUAAGCAAAGACAAUUGUGAUUUAGUUCUCAUACUAGCAUCCUCUAAAGCAGUGCAGCCAAAUAUAGUUAACCUUGCCAAAGAAACUGGAAAGGAAAAAAAUGGGAUUAAAAUAAAUUCAAAACAAACCAAAACAAAAAUCAUACACAACAUAUUCCCCUGAGCUUCUGAAGUGAGGGAGAUGUUUUUGUGUUUGAAAUUCUGGAAGCUUGUUUGGAACUGCAAGGGGAAAAGGGGAAAAAGAGAAAGUACAACAUUUAUGUGAGUCAGUAGAAAUCUGGAAAAAAAUGUUUGUUAAUACUUCUGGUUGUCUUUGUAUGGUGUAAUGGAAAGAGAAACAAAAAGACACUUUGUCAUUACAUUCCGGUGCUGGUGAAUUCAAUAAAACACUUUCCUUUAUUACUCAUCUAUAUACCUACUAAGUACAGAGUUGCAUAUUUCAUCCCAUGUCUAUUCAUAUCUGCAUCCCUCUCUGGAAGAGGAGGACUAAUUUUUAAGUAACUAGGGACCAAAUUUUCAAAAAAAAUCUCUGGACUUUUUUCAUAAUUUUUCAUAGAUUUGUGUGUAUAAUAAAGGCAGUGAAUUUAACAUUAUGACAUUUCUUAAUGCAGAAUUUUUACAGCAAGAAGACUGUGGAUGCUGCUCCUAACAAUAAAAUGAAAAUCAGAGUAAUUGUUAAUGGAGAAAACACAUUUUUGCAACACAAAAGUUUUUGAUCAGGAUUUUGUAUAGGAGACAUUUCUUCUAAAGGAAGAAAAUAAUGACUGCAUGCCAUUAUUAACCCAUAGUGAGUCAUAACUAAUCACACAUAUGACUGUUUUAUUUUAAAUGAAAAUUUGAUGCCAUCAGAUUGAAUCUGCCUUGAUUUUUUAUGUUUUGAGUAUUUUAUACACUUAAAUUGGUUUUAUUAUAUAACACAAAACUUAUAUAACUGCUGUUUUAACAACAGGAGCCUAAAGAUCAUUCCUAACUUUACCUAUGUAGAUGCACAUUGCUUUCACCUCAAAAAUCUGAUAUUUUACAAGUGUGUUUGUUAAUUUUUCAGGCAAUUUUUCACCAAAAAUGGAGCACAUGACAUUCUGCAGAGAUGUCAGUAGCAUAGCACCUCAAAUUGUAAAUACAAUGUGAUAUUCUUUUUCUGAAGGAAUCUAGUGAGAUGAAUUUAUUAUUUUAAUGACCCUUACUAUGCAUAAUCCUGUUGCAAUACCUGUGAUUUAUAAUGAACAUUUGUUUCCAUGUUAUAAGCAAUGCAUUACCAAGGAGAAUUUCGCUGAAGAAUUGUCUUGAGAGAAAACCAAGAAACUUGAUGUUUCUUUGUAUCUCUAAGGCAAUAUUACUAGCGCUACACCUGGUUACAGACAUCAAGAGACAUACAGACAACUUGGAAUUCAGUAAAGGACAGGACAGAAUAUUACUUUAAAAAUUAGAAUAACUGGUAUACCUAUCAAGAAAACACUACCCACAGUAGCCGUAGCAAGGCCUGGAUAGAUUUCUGUACUACAUAUAAUCUGCAAUAUAUAUAAAUUAGUAGCUGUAUAUGUAAAUUGACAAGAUUUUCUGUGGAACUGCUCACUUCUGAAGUGUUGUUGUAAAAGGUAGGAGAAUUCUGGAGUGGAAAAAAGCAGCAAAUACUAUAUAUUGAAGCUAAGAAGUCAA